GCGUUAAGUUGCAGGGUAUAGACCCGAAACCCGGUGAUCUAGCCAUGGGCAGGUUGAAGGUUGGGUAACACUAACUGGAGGACCGAACCGACUAAUGUUGAAAAAUUAGCGGAUGACCUGUGGCUGGGGGUGAAAGGCCAAUCAAACCGGGAGAUAGCUGGUUCUCCCCGAAAGCUAUUUAGGUAGCGCCUCGUGAAUUCAUCUCCGGGGGUAGAGCACUGUUUCGGCUAGGGGGCCAUCCCGGCUUACCAACCCGAUGCAAACUGCGAAUACCGGAGAAUGUUAUCACGGGAGACACACGGCGGGUGCUAACGUCCGUCGUGAAGAGGGAAACAACCCAGACCGCCAGCUAAGGUCCCAAAGUCAUGGUUAAGUGGGAAACGAUGUGGGAAGGCCCAGACAGCCAGGAUGUUGGCUUAGAAGCAGCCAUCAUUUAAAGAAAGCGUAAUAGCUCACUGGUCGAGUCGGCCUGCGCGGAAGAUGUAACGGGGCUAAACCAUGCACCGAAGCUGCGGCAGCGACACUCAGGUGUUGUUGGGUAGGGGAGCGUUCUGUAAGCCUGCGAAGGUGGCCUGUGAGGGUUGCUGGAGGUAUCAGAAGUGCGAAUGCUGACAUAAGUAACGAUAAAGCGGGUGAAAAGCCCGCUCGCCGGAAGACCAAGGGUUCCUGUCCAACGUUAAUCGGGGCAGGGUGAGUCGACCCCUAAGGCGAGGCCGAAAGGCGUAGUCGAUGGGAAACGGGUUAAUAUUCCCGUACUUGGUGUUACUGCGAAGGGGGGACGGAGAAGGCUAUGUUGGCCGGGCGACGGUUGUCCCGGUUUAAGCGUGUAGGUGUGUGUUCCAGGUAAAUCCGGUUCACUUUAACACUGAGGCGUGAUGACGAGGCACUACGGUGCUGAAGCAACAAAUGCCCUGCUUCCAGGAAAAGCCUCUAAGCAUCAGGUAACAUCAAAUCGUACCCCAAACCGACACAGGUGGUCAGGUAGAGAAUACCAAGGCGCUUGAGAGAACUCGGGUGAAGGAACUAGGCAAAAUGGUGCCGUAACUUCGGGAGAAGGCACGCUGACACGUAGGUGAAGUGAUUUACUCAUGGAGCUGAAGUCAGUCGAAGAUACCAGCUGGCUGCAACUGUUUAUUAAAAACACAGCACUGUGCAAACACGAAAGUGGACGUAUACGGUGUGACGCCUGCCCGGUGCCGGAAGGUUAAUUGAUGGGGUCAGCGCAAGCGAAGCUCCUGAUCGAAGCCCCGGUAAACGGCGGCCGUAACUAUAACGGUCCUAAGGUAGCGAAAUUCCUUGUCGGGUAAGUUCCGACCUGCACGAAUGGCGUAAUGAUGGCCAGGCUGUCUCCACCCGAGACUCAGUGAAAUUGAACUCGCUGUGAAGAUGCAGUGUACCCGCGGCAAGACGGAAAGACCCCGUGAACCUUUACUAUAGCUUGACACUGAACAUUGAGCCUUGAUGUGUAGGAUAGGUGGGAGGCUUUGAAGUGUGGACGCCAGUCUGCAUGGAGCCGACCUUGAAAUACCACCCUUUAAUGUUUGAUGUUCUAACGUGGACCCGUAAUCCGGGUUGCGGACAGUGUCUGGUGGGUAGUUUGACUGGGGCGGUCUCCUCCUAAAGAGUAACGGAGGAGCACGAAGGUUGGCUAAUCCUGGUCGGACAUCAGGAGGUUAGUGCAAUGGCAUAAGCCAGCUUGACUGCGAGCGUGACGGCGCGAGCAGGUGCGAAAGCAGGUCAUAGUGAUCCGGUGGUUCUGAAUGGAAGGGCCAUCGCUCAACGGAUAAAAGGUACUCCGGGGAUAACAGGCUGAUACCGCCCAAGAGUUCAUAUCGACGGCGGUGUUUGGCACCUCGAUGUCGGCUCAUCACAUCCUGGGGCUGAAGUAGGUCCCAAGGGUAUGGCUGUUCGCCAUUUAAAGUGGUACGCGAGCUGGGUUUAGAACGUCGUGAGACAGUUCGGUCCCUAUCUGCCGUGGGCGCUGGAGAACUGAGGGGGGCUGCUCCUAGUACGAGAGGACCGGAGUGGACGCAUCACUGGUGUUCGGGUUGUCAUGCCAAUGGCACUGCCCGGUAGCUAAAUGCGGAAGAGAUAAGUGCUGAAAGCAUCUAAGCACGAAACUUGCCCCGAGAUGAGUUCU
rnacentral:rRNA from 1 species